rnacentral:lncRNA from 1 species
AAUGGCCUCUAUUGAUUUCUUCCUUGGCAUUUUUGCUCAUAGCCACUACUGCCACGGCUGCUUAUGAGCCUUACAUUUAUGCCUCACCACCUCCACCGCCUUACUAUUACAAGUCACCACCACCACCAGAAUAUUCUCCACCACCACCUUACUACUACAAAUCUCCACCACCACCUGAGAAGUCUCCCCCGCCACCUUACUACUAUCACUCACCACCUCCUCCUAAGAAGUCACCCCCACCACCUUACUACUAUAAGUCUCCGCCUCCGCCGAAGGAAUAUCCCCCACCACCUUACUACUACAAGUCUCCGCCACCACCGGAGAAGUAUACCCCGCCACCUUACUACUACAAGUCUCCGCCCCCACCCGAGAAGUAUACCCCGCCACCUUACUACUACAAGUCACCGCCCCCUCCGCCACCUUACUACUACAAGUCUCCGCCACCACCGGAGAAGUAUACCCCGCCACCUUACUACUACAAGUCACCGCCCCCACCCGAGAAGUAUACCCCGCCACCUUACUACUACAAGUCACCGCCCCCACCGGAGAAGUAUCCCCCUCCACCUUACUACUACAAGUCACCGCCCCCACCGGAGAAGUAUCCCCCUCCACCUUACUACUACAAGUCACCGCCCCCACCAGAGAAGUAUCCCCCUCCACCUUACUACUACAAGUCACCGCCCCCACCAGAGAAGUAUCCCCCUCCACCUUACUACUACAAGUCACCGCCCCCACCAGAGAAGUAUCCCCCUCCACCUUACUACUACAAGUCACCACCGCCACCAGAGAAGUAUCCCCCUCCACCUUACUACUACAAGUCACCACCGCCACCACCUUAUUAUUAGAAGUCUCCUCCACCUCCCUCUCCAUCUCCACCCCCUCCAUACUACUAUAAGUCGCCACCUCCUCCUUCUCCAUCUCCACCCCCACCGUACUAAUAUUUGUCUCCUCCACCUCCUAAAGGCUACUAAAUAUACAAUGUGUUGUUGAAACAUGUGUGAUCUUAGUUAUGUAAGAAUAAGUGUAAGUUUGU